GCCUCACAUCAUCCCUGUCUAAUACCCUAUCUCCCACCAACACCGAAAUUACAAAAGGUGUAUCAGUGAAAAAUUAGUGAAUAGUGCAAAGUAAAAUGAAAGCAAGUUAACACGAUGUACAAUCAGUGCUUUAACAGCACCUUUGUCAGGGGAGAGAGACGUGGAAUGAAAGCUCUCCAGCAAUUAGCCUAUCACAAUCGAGUACUGCCCCCUCAGACUUGCAUCACUGAUUCUGGGGAUGGAUCAUCAGCAUACUCCUUGAGUUCGGUAAACUGAGUAGGCGGCUAAGUUCCAUGUAACCAUUCGACCAAAAACUCAGUUUGCAUUUUUAACCUAUUCAGCCCAAUUCAUUGCUAAUCCUUCUUUGUAUAUUUCAUGUACAUGGGAUUAGGGUAUCAGUAAUCCUUGUUUGUACGUUAAUAUAGAAAAGAGGAUUCAAUUCCUUUUACAAUUCUGUUUUAAAUCAUAGAG